rnacentral:rRNA from 1 species
AUUGAACGCUGGCGGCAUGCCUUACACAUGCAAGUCGAACGGCAGCACGGGGCAACCUGGUGGCGAGUGGCGAACGGGUGAGUAAUGCAUCGGAACGUGCCAUUGAGUGGGGGAUAACGUAGCGAAAGUUGCGCUAAUACCGCAUAUUCUGUGAGCAGGAAAGCAGGGGGACCGCAAGGCCUUGCGCUCUUUGAGCGGCCGAUGUCAGAUUAGCUAGUUGGUGAGGUAACGGCUUACCAAGGCGACGAUCUGUAGCGGGUCUGAGAGGAUGAUCCGCCACACUGGAACUGAGACACGGUCCAGACUCCUACGGGGGACAGCAGUGGGGAAUUUUGGACAAUGGGCGCAAGCCUGAUCCAGCCAUGCCGCGUGAGUGAAGAAGGCCUCGGUUGU